UACGAAGGUGGCAAGCGUUGUUCGGAUUUACUGGGCGUACAGGGAGCGUAGGCGGUUCGGUAAGCCCUCUGUGAAAUCUCCAGGCUUAACCUGGAACAGUCGGAGGGGACUGCUGGGCUAGAGGACGGGAGAGGAGCGCGGAAUUCCCGGUGUAGCGGUGAAAUGCGUAGAGAUCGGGAGGAAGGCCGGUGGCGAAAGGCGGCGCUCUGGAACGUUUCUGACGCUGAGGCUCGAAAGCGUGGGGAGCAAACAGGG
rnacentral:rRNA from 1 species